rnacentral:lncRNA from 1 species
UCAAUGCUUCUGCUCAGAAUGAUAUAUCUCCUUGUCUUGAUCCAGCGCAAGGAGGAAUGGGAUCAUUGUCUGAGCAGUGCGAUCAAAGUCAUCUUUUUCCUUCUUCUGGUGGUUCUAUUCUUGAUGUAUACAAUGAUGAUUGGUCUCCUAUUGCGUGUUUGGACACGUAUUCUUCGGAAGAUUUCAAGGAUUCAAAGCUGUCCAGUAUGUUGCCUGAUAUUAGAGAUUUUCCACGAUCUGAAUUGCAAGAAACCAUGACAGAAGAGGAGACUCGUCUUGGUGAGAUUCAUGAAUUGGUAAAACCUGAAAAGAUUGAUGAAGAUGAGAAUUCCAGUGAAUACUUUUCAGCCACUGAUACACACCAGAGUAUAUUGGUUUCAUUUUCAAGCCGGUGUGUGCUGAAAGGAACUGUAUGCGAACGUGCGAGGCUCUUGCGAAUAAAGUUUUACGGUUCUUUUGAUAAACCACUGGGAAGAUAUCUUCAUGAUGAUCUGUUUGAUCAAGUAAGUCAAUCCGAUUUUGCUUCAUCCGAAAUUACUGGUUCUAUGUUUCACUUAUUUAAUUUAAUUGUUCUUUGCAGGCAUCAUGUUGCAGGUCAUGUAAUGAACCAGCUGAAGCCCAUGUAAUAUGUUAUACCCACCAACAAGGAAAUCUCACAAUCAAUGUAAGACGUCUUUCCUCUCUUAAGUUGCCUGGUGAACGAGAUGGGAAGAUAUGGAUGUGGCACCGGUGCCUAAAGUGCGUUCAUAUAAAUGGGGUUCCUCCAGCAACUCAUAGAGUAGUUAUGUCUGAUGCUGCAUGGGGACUUUCUUUUGGAAAGUUUUUGGAGCUUAGUUUUUCAAAUCAUGCGACUGCUAAUCGUGUUGCAACAUGUGGUCAUUCAUUGCAGAGGGACUGCCUUAGGUUCUAUGGGUAAAUUUUGAAAAACUUUGAAUAUUUAACCAUUUUUUACUGUUAAGUAUGAUGUUGGUAGUUAUGAGGAGUAUCUUUUCCUAGAUUUGGCAACAUGGUUGCAUUCUUCCGCUAUUCUCCAAUCGAUAUUCUAUCGGUACAUUUGCCCCCAUCAACACUUGAAUUUAGUGGAAACAUUCAGCAGGAAUGGACUAGAAAAGAGGCAGCCGAGGUUUGUUAUGUAUUUUCCCUCUUGUUCUUAUACCUUUGGAAUCAGCUGAUUAUGAAAUGACUGACUAUUCUUUCUCCUGUAGCUAAUGGUCAAAAUGGAAAUGUCAUAUGUGGAGGUAUCUGAUGUACUCGACAGCAUUGAACAGAAGAGUAAUUCUGCUGGCUGUCAAUCAUCAAAUGCUAGUGAUUUAUCAGAUCACAUCGUGGAAUUGAGAGAACAGAUUCAAAAGGAGAGAGAUGAUUACAAUGUAAGAACAACCACAUACUAGUUACCCAUGUGACCCUGAAUAUUACUUUGUAGCAUGUAUUUGAUAUUUUUUAUGUAUUUUAUCUUUGGUCAGUGCUGUUGAAAGGUGAAUUUUACCAUUUGUUGACCUCUUUUUUCUGGUUUAGGGUUUGCUACAACCAGUUGUUAUGGAAUCUUCACAACUGGGUCCAACAGCUGUAGACAUCCUAGAGCUGAAUCGCUUAAGGCGUUCACUUCUAAUUAGUUUGUAUGUUUGGGAUCAGCAACUUCAUUCAUUGGAGUCCCAUAUUAAGAAAGGUUCUGCUGUCAAAGUUAAAGCAGAUCAUUCCAAUGAUGGUAAACUUGGUGUUUGCGAGCAAAAUGUCUACAGAUCCCCAGAUUCACAGGAGCCUCCUAAGAAUGACAUACAGUCAGAGAAUAACAAUAUUCUAUCAAACUUGGAAUCUGUUGUGCCAAAAGAAUCUGACUUGGUGUCGUAUAAUAAGAUAGACGAGGAUGUGCAGUCAGAUGGAAACAUCACGUCUCCUGCAUCUGCUUUAUCUGAACGAAUAGAUUCUGCUUGGACAGGUACUGAUCUACUUACCUUGAAAGUUCAAACCACAGAAGCAUUUCAAGAAGAUGAGCUCCCAGCUGGUUUGAUCAGGCAAAUGAAUAAAAUCAGCGAUCUUCGUUUGAGGAAUGUAGCAUCUCCAAGGAGGCUUCACUCUUUUGAUUCUGCAUUGAGAUUCCAAGAAAGAAUUAAAAAAGGAUUGCACCCCUCUUCAAGUCCUUUGUCAGUGCUUAGAUCUUUCCAUGCUUCUGGAGAUUACAGAAGUAUGGUUCGAGAUCCUGUUUCUAAUGUAACAGGGACUUACUCUCAUGCAUUGCCACUAGAGGCACAAAAGUUGAAUUUGUUACUCAGUUCCACACCCACUAUGAUCACCUCUGCAUCUCAUGUGGCUGAAGGGACUCGGCUGCUUCUUUCGCAGAGGGGUCAUAGUGAUAUUGUUAUUGCUGUUUAUGACAAUGAUCCUGCAAGUAUAAUAUCAUAUGCUCUUAGUUCCAAAGAGUAUGAUGAGUGGGUUACUGGUAAAUCCAGUGAAAUUGGAGGAGGCUGGAGUGUUAGUGAAAAGAGCAAAGAAGAUUCUGCUGCUUCCAGCUUUUCGCCUUGGCAGUCAUUUGGCUCUCUUGACCUGGAUUAUAUACGGUAUGGAAGUUUUAGCUCUGAAGAUGCCUCAUCAUCUGUGGGUUCCACAUUUGCUGAUACAAAAAGGUCUCCACAUUUAACAGUUUCUUUUGGAGAUGAUUCUGCUGCUGCUGGUGGCAAAGUGAAGUUUUCAGUGACUUGUUAUUUUGCAAAACAAUUUGAUUCUCUUAGAAGAAAAUGUUGCCCCAGUGAAGUGGAUUUUCUGCGUUCCUUGAGCCGCUGUAAGAAAUGGAGCGCACAAGGGGGAAAGAGCAACGUGUAUUUUGCCAAAACAUUUGAUGAGAGAUUCAUUAUAAAACAAGUCCAAAAGACGGAGUUAGAAUCAUUUGAUGAAUUUGCUCUGGAAUACUUCAAGUAUUUGACAGAUUCUGUUAGUUCAGGAAGCCCUACUUGCCUUGUGAAAAUUCUUGGCAUUUAUCAGGUUUGUCCUCACACUUUACCUUUUAAAAGCACAGUUUUUGGGCAUCUAGUUGAGUUGUGGAGGGUCAUAUAUAUAGAGCCUUGUUAUAAUUCUUUGUGGUUUUCUUGUUGACAGGUCUCUGUAAAACACCUGAAAGGUGGCAAAGAAACAAAAAUGGAUCUUAUAGUGAUGGAGAACCUCUUUUUCAGGAGAAGUAUCUCAACAGUUUAUGAUCUUAAGGGUUCCAUAAGAUCACGAUACAAUCCGGAUACAUCAGGGACAAACAAAGUACUGUUAGAUAUGAAUCUGUUGGAAACGCUGCGAACAGAGCCUAUUUUUCUCGGAAGCAAGGCAAAGAGAAACCUCGAGAGAGCUAUUUGGAAUGAUACAUCUUUUCUGGCAGUAAGUUGCUUUUUCCCAUGAGAACUUGUCAAAAAUUGUUUGUAGUCUUUCAAAGUCUUACUGGUAUGCUGGAGUAAUAACAAGAUUUGAAUGUGACACUGUAUCUAAAAUAUUCGCAGUUUUCAGCAAGUUCUUCCACUGAUUUAAGAUUAUUAAGUAAUAAACAUUUGCUGUGUAUUUUCAGUCGGUCGAUGUCAUGGACUAUUCAUUACUCGUUGGGGUGGAUGAGGAGCGCAAAGAGCUGGUUUUGGGAAUUAUCGAUUUCAUGAGACAAUAUACUUGGGACAAGCACUUGGAGACAUGGGUUAAGGCAUCAGGGAUACUAGGUGGCCCGAAGAAUGCAUCCCCAACAAUAAUUU